GUCACUCCUGGUGGUCGGUUGGUUAGUUGACUUUGAUUUUUGAAAAAAACCGUUUGUUUUUGUUUGUUGAUUUUCAAUGAUUUACAGUCACAGGUUGACUGAAAUUUUUAACAGAGGUAAAGACAAGUGUUCAUGGUGAUCAUGGUUAGACUGAGGAGGAUGUGGAAAACUGCGCAGAUUAUAUAUCCUGAUUGAGCAGAAUUACUUAUUGGAUCGAUAGGAAGCAAGAAAAUUUCAUUUUAUCUAUCAUCAUUUCUCUUCUUUAUCUUCACCAUUAUUUUAUCUCUGUAUUGGCAUCUUUAUCUCCUUACAUCAUGGGAAUCGUUUAAGAUGUUGACUCUUUUAAACAGCUGAAAAUAUACCAAUUCCGUGUAUAUUACAGCAGGCUGUUAGUUGGAUUCAAACUACAUUUAGGAUGGUAAUGGUGUUAAUAAACAACAACAGCAUUAAAUCAAGUGAACAUUAAUAAGAUUAGAUUAUGGUGUUAAUGGUUAUUAACUGUGAACCCAAAGUACAAUUACCUUCAUCAAUUUACAAUGUAAAUGUAUCAAGCAAUGGCAACAAUUUUCAAUGCUUUUUGAUUUUAUAUUUUUUCAUUGGAUGAAGCCUAAUGCUGACUUGAGUGUUCAAUGAUACAAAUGGCAUUUUUUGAAAACAAACUCUUAUGGAUCAAUUAACUGGUGAAUUAUGCUGAACCUAAAAGUCUUGAUUGUAAUUACAUUCAGAAUGACUUGUUUGCUUAGUGUCUGUCAUUAGUAACGUCUGUGCAAAGAUUUGUUACUUUCAAUGUCUCCAAGCAUUGAUGACAAUUAUUUCAGUAAAUUGGUCCAUAGAUGAGUAGGUGCAAGGUUAAGAUGAUAAUUAAGAAAUCUAAUUGGAUUUGUUUAAUUGGAAUGCUUGAUAGAUGAGAUGUUUAAUAUAUCGGUUGAAUUGCUCAUUAAGCUAAAGUCAUUGAAAAUUGGCAAAAUUGUGAAGUCAUAUUUGGAUAGUUAUUUGAUAAUCAAAAUAGCAAUAUUAAUCUCAAAUGCUUUUCAUUUUUUCGUGUUAUUGACAUUGAAUGAUAACAGAUGAAGCGAUAUAAAGGGAUUUGAAAUACAAUGGACCAAACAGGUUUUUUGACAGCAUUUUGUAAGCUUAUGAAAGUUAUCAGAGAUGAAUCUUUCAAUUUUCUCGUACAAUCUGUCAAACCAUGGCUGCUAAUCGUCUUCAUUUCAAGUAAAUUGACUGUAAAAUUGAGAUUCAAGACUCCGAGCAACUGUUGAUGUUUCCCUUUUACCUUUUGGAUCAAUCAUUUCUUCAUCACCUCCAGCCUCAGGAGUAUCCGCAAUUUAACCAGUUUUUUGCAUCUUGUUUAUUGAAUGCUCUGAUAUUGUCAUGAAUUUCUCUGGUUUCUUUUUUUUCUGAUCAACAUUUUCUUUUGGAUCAUUAAUUUCCAUCUAUUUUUGGUUGAAUAAAAAUUUUCAUUGCUUUUAAUUUCCGAUUCAUCGACGCUAUGAAAGUUUCAUGGACUCAUAACAAUAAAUGUGACGAAAUCUUUAAAUUUCAUUGUAUUGCUCUACAAUUGAUAAAAUAUUAAAUGGAAUGUAAUGAA